AGGACCCAAUUAUGACAUCCAUUGCGUUUUUGAUCUUAAUGCAUUGCGCAGCAUAUGAAAUAUGCGCUAUAAACAUAAGUUUUAUACUAUGCCAUGCAUUUUUGAAAAUUAUUAUUUUGUGUGGAUUUUGGCCUUUUUUGCUUACACUUGGGACUUGGUGAUUUUUCAUUUUGUAGUUUCAUCAGCAGGCUCUCGCGUGGAGGUAGAAUUUCGUAGCUAUUAAUUCGCGAGUUUUUUCGGAUAUUUGUCGGUGCUAUGAACCCAAGUAUCCCCCGACCAACAGGAUAUUAGGAAGGAAAAGACAAGGCUUCCGAGGAUCAACAACAGACGUGGCCAAGAUGGCAGAUGAAGAACAGUAGUUCUAAAGGCGACGUUGAGAAUAUUGUUAAGUUAAAGCGGAUUUCACCCCCUACCCUACAGCGUACUGUGGGAAGGCUUGACCACGGAGAUGCCCACCAGGUACACAGUGGUACCGAACAAACUACCGGGGGAAUUUCGGUACACGUUCACGGGAAUAAUACGGAACAACACAAAGUUGCGUUUUCUCGUCGCGGCGGUCGGUUUAUUACAAUUAUAACAUAAAAACAACAAACAACAUACAUACGAAUCACAGGGUCGGCGCAAGGCAAUGAUGAUAAACAUCGUCAACAUAAAACAGACUGGUCCAAAUUACAACACUCCUCCUCGAUGUAUUCAUCACUUGUCUUCACAGUUACACAAAGUCUUGAAAAGUUCUCAUUGGACAACACAGUCUACACAAAGUUCCUCCUCUUGCACCGAACACUCCUGCUUCGUCAAGUAUACCACAAAGUUCACCAAGUUCACAGACUAUCCACGAUGUAACACUUAGCAUUGGUUUCCCUCGUCAUAACAGUCAUAAAAUUCUUCUUCUUGGUGGCACUCCUCCUCAACGAGAUGCCCAGCUGCAGUUUUCCGGCGGUUGCCGCUCUUCCUCACUUCUGCAGUCUUUAGAGCGUACCACAAAGUUCUGCCACAGCUUGCAUUUCUCCGCUACGACUCACAAUCUGGCAC